rnacentral:rRNA from 1 species
AUUGUAAUGUCAAAUAUCACCUACUUGUCACCUGAUAUAGAGAUGUAAACAAAAAGUGUUGCAUUCGUCUUGUUAUCAACGUAUAAGUAGUAAAAAGGGUCACACGAAUAAAGAGAAAAUUCAGGUUCAAAUCAAAUCAUAUUGAAAAAAAGGAAAUGUCAUAACUACGAUUCGGUGGUUGCAUGCUUUCUGUUUUACAUGCGGUGGUUGCAUGCUUUUUGUUUUGCAUGCGGUGGUUGCGGUUAGAGUUAUAUUAAGUGAUGUUUUUUGGCCUUUUACAUUCUAGUCUCUUGGCAUUCUCUUAUAGCCUUUUGACAUCC